CCUUUCUAAGCAGCUGCCUGUCCUUUUAGGACUGGAUGUAGGUUUCUGCCUCUCUUUUUGGCCCUGGCACUGCUGGCCCCAACCACAUGCCUGAUUGCCCGGGAAGAACGGCCUUUGAAAUUCAACAUCUGCUUCUGGGUAGUUGUUGAACAAGCCCACCUGACCAAGAGAGGGAAGCACGCUAACUGUUUUCAGUUUGGACACUCUUGGGGGCUUUUUAGUAAUUGCAUGUGUUUCUGAGCAAGUGAGUGUCUUUUGUGGGUACCAGACAACGGGAUCUGCUCCUCUCAACUAGGGACAGUCUGAAGAAUUUUGGUGUGCAAGUUCAUCAAGCUCAACCCAUGGAAAGAGGAAGCUCCGCUGUUUCAGUUUGGACACUCUUGGGGUUUGUUGGUUGCUGCAGCACUUGUAUUGUAUUUUGGUGACUGUUUAUUUGUGUAUGUCAAUAUAGCCAUGGGAAGUAAGAAUUUGAUAAGCUGAUAAUCUUAUGUAAUACUGUUUGGCCUCAUAUCUUUGAAUCUGGAUAAGUUUGGCCUCUCCAUGUGCCUCGUUUUGCUGCUGAAUGGCAAAGCCGGGUGGAGUUUUGUGUAUUCAGGCUUUUAUGCUGUUGUUCAAAGCAAGGUCAGGCGUGAUUAGUACAUGAUGUUCUUCUGUGGUUUUUUCUGGCUCCAGUCGUCCUUGGAGUGUGGAGAGGUUUAGCCUUUAAAAAUCGAAAUGCCACAGAAACUGCUAUACCCAAAACUUUGGUUCACAACCUUCAUUGGAUUGCCUAUCAGAGCAAAAGAAGUUUAGCCAUGUGAACGUGUUAAUAAGCCUGUGAGUUUGUAUUGGUAUAUCAUGGCUAGAGUUCCAAGGUAAAAGUUAUUGGAUCUUUGUUUGCAUGUAUGUAUAUAUGUUUAGAUGUGUUUACAUGUAUGUAUAUUAUUUCAUAUGUUGUGUCUACCAAAUUGGCUUAUAAAUAAAAGAGCACUAUUUCUGCUGUUCAAAUUCUCUCUGCACUUCAUGACAGCAUCUACAUUCAAGAUUCCCAGAGGCACCAUCCACAAAGCUCUAUAGCAUUUAGAUGGAGUUGCAAUUUGUUUCUAAGACAGAGGACAAGAAAUAUGAAGAAGCCUUUCCCUGGAGGCUGAUCCACGUGAUUCAGGAGAGGAAAUGUUUAGAGUUAGAAAGACUCCAU
rnacentral:lncRNA from 1 species